GACGAACGCUGGCGGCGUGCUUAACACAUGCAAGUCGAGCGGAAAGGCCCUUUCGGGGGUACUCGAGCGGCGAACGGGUGAGUAACACGUGAGUAAUCUGCCCUUGGCUUUGGGAUAACUACCGGAAACGGUGGCUAAUACCGGAUAUGACCAUGCUCGGCAUCGGGUGUGGUGGAAAGUUUUUUCGGCCAGGGAUGUGCUCGCGGCCUAUCAGCUUGUUGGUGGGGUAAUGGCCUACCAAGGCUUCGACGGGUAGCCGGCCUGAGAGGGUGACCGGCCACACUGGGACUGAGACACGGCCCAGACUCCUACGGGAGGCAGCAGUGGGGAAUAUUGGACAAUGGGCGGAAGCCUGAUCCAGCAACGCCGCGUGAGGGAUGACGGGCCUUCGGGCUGUAAACCUACUUUCAGUACCGACGAAGCGCCGACUGAUGGUGGUGACGGUAGGUACGAGAAGAAGACGCCGGCCAACUACGUGCCAGCAGCCGCGGUAAGU
rnacentral:rRNA from 1 species